CGGAGGAUCCAAGCGUUAUCCGGAAUCAGUUGGGUUUAAAGGGUCCGUAGGCGGUUUGAUAAGUCAGUGGUGAAAGCCCAUCGCUCAACGAUGGAACGGCCAUUGAUACUGUCAGACUUGAAUUACUGGGAAGUAACUAGAAUAUGUAGUGUAGCGGUGAAAUGCUUAGAUAUUACAUGGAAUACCAAUUGCGAAGGCAGGUUACUACCAGUGGAUUGACGCUGAUGGACGAAAGCGUGGGGAGCGAACAGGAUUAGAUACCCUGGUAGUCCACGCCGUAAACGAUGGAUACUAGCUGUUGGGCGCAAGUUCAGUGGCUAAGCGAAAGUGAUAAGUAUCCCACCUGGGGAGUACGUUCGCAAGAAUG
rnacentral:rRNA from 1 species